CGCAACGGGUGAGUAACACGUAUGCAACCUGCCUGUAAGCGGGGAAUAACCCGUUGAAAGACGGACUAAUACCGCAUAAUACUAAAUUACUGCAUGGUAAUUUAUUUAAACAUUUAUGGCUUACAGAUGGGCAUGCGCAUGAUUAGCUAGUUGGAGAGGUAACGGCUCCCCAAGGCAACGAUCAUUAGGGGUUCUGAGAGGAAGGUCCCCCACACUGGUACUGAGACACGGACCAGACUCCUACGGGAGGCAGCAGUGAGGAAUAUUGGUCAAUGGACGAGAGUCUGAACCAGCCAAGUCGCGUGCAGGAAGAAUGUUCCCUAUGGAUUGUAAACUGCUUUUGCAGGGGAAUAAAGUGCAUCACGUGUGAUGUUUUGUAUGUACUCUGCGAAUAAGGAUCGGCUAACUCCGUGCCAGCCGCCGC
rnacentral:rRNA from 1 species